GCGAGAUCUAGCAGCGGUAGAGUGCAUGCUAUGCAUGAAUGAGCCCCUGGGUUCAAUCCCCAGCAUCUCCA